rnacentral:rRNA from 1 species
UACGAGGGGUGCAAGCGUUGCUCGGAAUUAUUGGGCGUAAAGGGUAGGUAGGUGGUUACGUAUGUCUGGGGUGAAAUCCCUGAGCUUAACUCAGGAAGUGCCUUGGAAACGGCGUAACUAGAGUACUAGAGAGGUUCGUGGAAUUCCCGGUGUAGCGGUGAAAUGCGUAGAGAUCGGGAGGAACAUCAGAGGCGAAGGCGGCGAACUGGAUAGUAACUGACACUGAACUACGAAAGCGUGGGUAGCAAACAGG